rnacentral:lncRNA from 1 species
UUCUGGUGUGUCUGAAGACAGCUACAGUGUACUCAUACAUAAAAUAAACAAAUCUUUUUUUUUUUUUUAAAUACCACUCUUAGCAUCCAUAGUAAACAAGGCCAUAUAGCAAAUAAAAAAAUAAAUAAAUAAAAGUAAGUGUGUACAGCUCUGCAUUUCAGACACUAAUUAGCUGGAACAAAAGAUUAUGAUUUGUAGAGCAGUACAAAGGUAGCAACAUUAAACAUACUAUUAAGAGUUUGGAGAGAUGGGUUGGUAGUUAGAAGUACUCGUUGCUCUAACAGAAGACCAGCAUUCUGUUCCAGUAUCUACAUGGAGGCUCACAACAACAUGUAACUGUAUCAGGGGAUUGCCCUCCCUUGUCUGGCAUCCUUGGGCACUAUGUGGUACUCAGACAGACAUACUUGCAGCCAAAACACAUAAAAUGAAAUAAGAGAAAUCUAAAAAAGAAAAGAGUUGAAAACUACAGUGUUUUCAAAAGAAACACAAUGUCAAAAGUUAAAUUUCUCAGAAAUGACGGGCAGUAGUGGGGAGUUCAAGGCCACCCUGGUCUAUAGAGUGAGUUCCAGGAUAGCCAGGGCUACACAGAGAAACCUGUCUCCAAAUCCCCCCCCCCCUUGCAAAAAAAAAAAAAUCUCGGAAAUGGCUUCAUUUAAGAUAGGGUUGAGCUAGCUCUGAAACUCUUUAAAUUAUGUAUUUUUAUAAAUGUAUAAGUGUUUUGCCUGUUUCUGUGUGUGUGUAUUUGUGUGUGUGUGUGUGUGUGUGUGUGAGAGAGAGAUAGAGAGAGAGAGAGAGAGAGAGAGAGAGUCACUUACGUGCCUGAUGUCCUCAAAAGCCAGAAAAAGGCAUCAGAGUUCCUGGAGCUGGAGCUGUGUAUGGUUGUGAGCCAACCUGUGGCUCACGCUGGGAAUCAAACCCAGAUCCCCUGCAAGAGCCCUGAGCCAGCUUCCUAGGCUCUAGGUAAGACUUUAAUAUGCUGCCUUGACUUUUUAAACUUCUGAUGUGGAUAAUUGUAAGUGAAGCGAUUAUCGUUGCUGCCCAUUCUACACUUACUAUCUGCCAGACUGAUUGUAGAUGUUUUAAGUUUAUUAAGUUAUCACCACUCAGGAGAGAGAGUUGAUCGUUACUCUCUUAGGUGAGGAAACUUAAAGCACACAAAGACUGAAGCAAACCUGCUCAGAGUAAGAGGAGCCAGGGUUCAUAAGCAGGCGGUUUACUGUAGAGUUUACAUUCUUAUUUCCUGCCUUGAGAUGUCAUGGUACAGUUUUUUAAGAUACAUUUCUAGUUUCUCAACCUUUCUCAAAAAGACUUUCAGUUAAUGUUGACUGACUCAUAUUUUUUAAACAUUUACCUUUUUGUAAAGACCAAAUUGGAGAUUCAGAAAGCUCUUGCAGAAGACUCCACUGUGUAUGAGUAUGACAGCGUUUAUGAUGAGAUGC